CCCCUGUGAAAGUUUAUUUCUUUCCUCACACCCAAUUCUUCCUCUAUAGCAUUUUGUUCAUACUUCCUCUGUAUGAUAUUUACUGCUAUAGGACACUUAAUAGAUUAAAAAGCUGAUCAUCCCAUAUGACUGAGUUCUUGAUGAGUUCUUGAGUGCUUCAGGAUUUGAUCUUAGCCAUAUUUGUAUCCUCAGCAUUUGGUACAAGGUUUUCAGGUAAAACUAGAUAACGUAACUGGUUAUUGGCUAAUGGACAGGUGGAUACAUGCAUGGAUGUUGGGAGGGUCUUGCUCUCGAAUUAGUCCUUUAUGCUGGAGUGGUUAUGAAGAAAUAACCAGGGGCAGAAAGCCAGACAUUUUUCAUUAUGGCAAUGGCGCACACUUUUGUCCUGUAAUUUAGUUUGAAGACAAUGUCCAUACACCAACCUGUGUUCCCGAAUAAAUGCCUAAGACUUCUUGGGGUGGGUAGGGGACCAAUCUAAUUGAGGAUGUCAUUCCAUUAUUGGCCCUGGGACACAUGUCCACCCUGCUACUCUUGGAGAAAGUUAGUUUGUAGGAGGCAUUUGCUGGCUGGAGCUGCGGUCAGUCAGCAGUGAAUCAUUCAGGUGCCCUGCAGCCGUUUCCUAAGAGACCACACGCUGAGUACCUGCUGAAUCAUGAGCUUCCGUUGAGUAACAAUAGCCACUCUGACAAGCUGGAGGGAGGGUUUUGCUGGAGCAGAUACUUGGCACACACCUGAGCUGCCCAAUCUGAAAUUAAGGGAAGAAAAAGGGAAAUGUGCAGCUUGACUCACCGAUAAUCUAUCGUGAUGGGAGUUGCUCCCAAGGCAAUGGUGUGUUUUCAGGCACUAACGGCCUACUUAGUCAUGGAAAGAAAAUGCAGCCCCACAUCUUCUAAAGGAGGGGAUACUUUAUAACUUUCUACCUUAAAGUGGAUGCUAAAGGCCAAUGUGUGACCAAGAACAAAUCAUGAGGUGGUUCCAAUGAGACUCAAGGAAAACGUUCAGAAUGCAGACGAAAUAAACUUGGAGUUUGGAAUGGAUAAAACUUCUUGACUGAAGUUUAAAUAUAAACCCAGAUUUCUAAUCACCCUUUAUUCUCCACCUAAAUACCCAUAAUAAUCUUCUAUGAUGCUUGAUAUCAUUAAAGCUCCAAGACCCUGCACAGUAUUAGAGUAAGAAACAGCAAAG
rnacentral:lncRNA from 1 species